rnacentral:rRNA from 1 species
UACAGAGGGUGCGAGCGUUAAUCGGAAUUACUGGGCGUAAAGCGUGCGUAGACGGUUAUUUAAGUCGGGUGUGAAAGCCCCGGGCUCAACCUGGGAAUUGCAUUCGAGACUGAAUAGCUAGGGUACGGUAGAGGGAAGUGGAAUUUCCGGUGUAGCGGUGAAAUGCGUAGAUAUCGGGAGGAACACCCAUUGCGAAGGCAGCUCGCUGGGACGUUACUGACGCUGAGACGCGAAAGCGUGGGGAGCAAACAGG